GACGAACCGUGCGAACGUUAUUCGGAAUCACUGGGCUUAAAGGGUGCGUAGGUGGGCAAGUAAGUCAGUGGUGAAAUCUCCGGGCUUAACCCGGAAACUGCCAUUGAUACUAUUUGUCUUGAAUACUGUGGAGGUCAGCGGAAUAUGUCAUGUAGCGGUGAAAUGCUUAGAUAUGACAUAGAACACCAAUUGCGAAGGCAGCUGGCUACACAAAUAUUGACACUGAGGCACGAAAGCGUGGGGAUCAAACAGG
rnacentral:rRNA from 1 species